rnacentral:rRNA from 1 species
UAAAAAGCUCGUAGUUGGAUCUGUGUAUCGGACGGUCGGUUCGCCGCUCGCGGUGUUUGACUGACCGGUUCGGACGUCAUGCCGGUGGGACCUCGGCGCAAGUCGGGGUUCCGUAACUUACCCUCCGCGCUGCUCUUCAUUGAGUGGUUCGGUGGGCCGGCACGUUUACUUUGAACAAAUUUGAGUGCUCAAAGCAGGCCUUAUGUUGCCUGGAAACUGUGUGCAUGGAAUAAUGAAAGAGGACCUUGGUUCUAUUUUGUUGGCUUUCUGAACUCGAGGUAAUGAUUAACAGGGACAGACGGGGGCAUUCGUAUUGCGACGUUAGAGGUGAAAUUCUUGGAUCGUCGCAAGACGGACCGAUGCGAAAGCGUUUGCCAAGAAUGUUUUCGCUAAUCAAGAACGAAAGUUAGAGGUUCGAAGGCGAUUAGAUACCGCCCUAGUUCUAACCAUAAACGAUGUCAGCCAGCGAUGCGCCGAUGUUCCUCCGAUGACACGGCGCGCAACUUCCGGGAAACCUUGGGUUCCGGGG